AUCCUCUUCCACUAGAUGGCACAAGGUACAAUUAACCUGUGUAUCCACGUGUUGCUGGUCAUACAACAGAAUCAUAUCAAACUAAAAAAAAUUGUUGCAGAGAAACGUCGUCUUCGACUCACCACGCUGAUAUUGAAAGCAUAGAGCAGGUCGAAAGGUAAAGCGGCGAUCAGGUCCACAAAGAGCCAGGACGUGACGUAGUGAAUGCAAAUGGAGCGAGCGUCGUACACAACCUGACCGGACGUGCUCACGUGUCCCGAAAGCUGGUAGAGGACGGCCCGACUUCGGCGGCGCUCCGUGCCGAAGUCCGCCGGGCGGGUGAUCUGGUGGAUCUCCAGGCCCGUUUCCUCGUCUGAAAUGUGGAAAGCGCGCAUGGAUUCUGGUGAAUAUAGCACAAACCUGGCAUUUGAACAGGGGUGUGUAGACUUUUGAUAUCCACUGCACAUCUGCACAAGGAAUCGCUGCGACACAGCUCUUACCACUCUUCUUGUACAGGACAAUUUCAGUCUUGAACUCCCGCCGCUCAUCCAGAGCUCUCUGCAUCUGCCAGGUGAGCUGGUCGCUGGUCUCGCCGCCGUACAGGAAGUGACACGUGCAGCUCUUCUGCAUUAAUUCACCGCGGGCAAAGCCGCUCAAUUCGCAGAAGCCAUCGGAGCAGUAGACAAUGGGGUAGAGCGUUUGGACCUGGGCGUUCCCCAGCACAAAGUUGCUGUCUGGGGAGAGUGAAUUGAAGCCAUUAGGAAGACAAAGAUGGGAUUUUCUAAUGAGCGUCUGUGAUUGCUUUUGGACAUCGCCAUUAUGGGAGAACAAUGACAUUUUCCUCUUCUGCAUACAGUAUUGGACACUGCAGUUGGGUUUUUUUAGUCAAGGUUUUUUAUCACCUUUAGUAUACGAUGGGAACAGCAUUUGCUUUCUCCACACGUGCGGCAAGACACUUUUAAAGUUCUUGAUGCAACUGGGCUUUAGUUUUAUUGGCAUUAUCGCGGCAGAUCGGAAAUUCGGAAUCAUGUAGUGAUUAGCGGAGGUGCUUAGCGGUCUCUGUGUGAACCCUCCUCGUUGGGCUCGCUGUUCCUGCUGUGCACGUCUUGACCUCUGUGGGGCAGUGUGGUGCACGCAAUGAGAUACACACUUGCAGUAACUAAGAAAGUAGAAGUCACCAUUGAAUAUUGUUAAUAUAACUCACUUUUCACAGAGUUUGGAGAAUAAAUGCCAGAGUAUUAUUUUGCCUGUUUGUAUGUGUUUACACAGUGUUUAUGCACCAAUAUUGAUUAUUUUGAGAGAUAUAAGUGGUGCGAGUUCAAUGCUAAUUUUCGUUAGCUUGUCAAUGGUGUUUUUCAUUCAUUUUGUGUUAGGUGUGAGCUAGCAAUUUUUGUGAAAAAAAAAUGAAGAAAGAAAUGAAGGCUGUGAUGAAUUUGAACAUUCAAUAGGUGUAAUUCUUUUGUAAGUUUAGUUUUACAGUGAACUUCAACUUUGCCGAGUGUUCCCGAAGGUUGCCGGAGCCGGAGCCUUGUAAAGUGGCGGUGUCGUCCAAAAAAAAAACAAUUAAACAAAUAAAUAACUUGCAAUGGAAAAGACCUCUUGCCGUCUGAGGAACCCACUUUCAUCCAAAAAAAACACAUCGGGCAAGACAUGCUUGUUUUUGCUUACGGCCACUCAGUCAGUCAGGUUCCUCAGUCAGGUUGCCUCUUUGAUUGGCUGCAUUCCGUUCCAUGUCACAGUUCUCGGCGUCGAGACUCGGGAGAAGUCGGCGUUCCCCACACACAUCAAGAGUUUUGGUGGUAAAUAUUGAAUGCAUUCAAUAUUUAUGAUUGUCAGUCCCGACCUUUUUCCAACGCUAAAAUCAGGACGAAUCCA